rnacentral:rRNA from 1 species
AACGAACGCUGGCGGCAGGCUUAACACAUGCAAGUCGAACGCCCCGCAAGGGGAGUGGCAGACGGGUGAGUAACGCGUGGGAAUCUACCUAGUUCUACGGAACAACUGAGGGAAACUUCAGCUAAUACCGUAUACGCCCUACGGGGGAAAGAUUUAUCGGAAUUAGAUGAGCCCGCGUAAGAUUAGCUAGUUGGUGGGGUAAUGGCCUACCAAGGCGACGAUCUUUAGCUGGUCUGAGAGGAUGAUCAGCCACACUGGGACUGAGACACGGCCCAGACUCCUACGGGAGGCAGCGGUGGGGAAUAUUGGACAAUGGGCGCAAGCCUGAUCCAGCCAUGCCGCGUGAGUGAUGAAGGCCUUAGGGUUGUAAAGCUCUUUCAGUGGGGAAGAUAAUGACGGUACCCACAGAAGAAGCCCCGGCUAACUUCGUGCCAGCCGCCGCAGUAAGAC